rnacentral:lncRNA from 1 species
AAAGAUUUAAUAUUAAAUUCCCAGCAAAACAAAUACAAGCAACAAAGAAUUGAGAAGUACAUGGCAGGUGUGACAACAAAGCUCGCAACAUGCAUUAUAGAAGAAUUAAAAUUACCAUGCACCAUACUCUAAAGCAAAGACAUGGAACAAAUAAACUAAAGGUAAGUGUGCAACCGAUACAAAUGAGCCCCGAAAAAAGAAAAAUACAAAGAAAGCUCACCAGUAACCUUAUUUGAAAGCACAAGUACAUCUUCUUUUCGUCAUAACAAGAUAUCUGAAAAACGUGACCAAGGUGAUAAAAUGAGGAUUCAGUAAUUUAGUCAAUGGUACAAUAAAAUAUGAAAAGAAAAUAGAGUACAAAAAUACUAUUUUGAGAACCAAGUAGGAUAGUGAUUUACAGAAAGUGCAAUUAAUGGAUGAAAAGUGUUCAAGCAAACAUAUUCGAUGUGAGCAAAGACAAGCGGACCGUGAGGGCACCAGUCGAAAACCGGAAACCAAAAAUAAUAAUCUCCAUAUAACACUAAGUAACAAAUCCUUAAAAAACCUAAAGGCUAGAGGCAAUAACCCAAGUCCUAAUCCUAGAGUAAUAAAUCUCAUUCUCUAAACUUCAAAAUGAUGAUUACUAUAACUAAACGAUAAUUGGUAAAUGACUUUUAAGUUUUAACUUUCUAAAGUUACGACCUUGUAGUUCAUUUCCAACGUCACUUAUAGAGUUCUUGUAGCUAUGCUAUUUACUUAAACACAAUUUUGGUUAUAAAUAUUGAAUUUGAUGAUUAUCCAGGUGGAGAGAUCAAUUAUUUGUUCAAUUACUGUCAAACUAUUUCAGACUCAGUAAAGGUGAAGCUAUUUCAGACUCAGAAAAGGUGAAGCAACUGUAUUGAGUUGGGCUACAUGAUAGUAUACCUAAGAUUCUCUGGAGCUAUAGUUCUAUAUUUAUGAUAGUGUGUUAGUAUAUGAUCUACUGGCAUAAUAUGUUGGUGUGUUUGAAAAAUUGUUGUUCCAUAGGCAAGCUCAAGUUGUUUAUACAUUUUAACAUGGACCCUAAAAACUAAUACUACAUUUUAAUUUAUCAUGAUUUCAACACGUAAGAGAGAAAAUGCAUAUUAUGGAGACUUACCCAAGUGCAAGAUAAUGCUCACUACGCCCGUGGAGAUGUAACUCUUGAAGAAGUGAAUGUCAGUGAAUGAGCACGUGCCUGAGAAUAAUUUAGAAAAAAGAAUCACAUGAAUAUUUAAACAAAUCAUAUUUAUCUUUUUUAUUGGGGAAGGAGAGCGGUGGAAUUUGAACCCUAGACCUCACAGACAUGAGUUCGCACCUGUUGGUGUCCCCUUGAGGACAUCAAACAAAUCAUAUUAAUACUUACUACAUUUUGUACAAAAAUUAGUACAUGAAAAAUUAAGAAUAUCAAAGUUUAAUUAAAAUCCUACUUAUUCAUAAUUAAAAAUUAAGAAUGGACAAAUAAACUAAAAUCCUAUUGAUUAUACAUAAUUAUAUCGAGCAUCCCUAUUUUGGAAGCACCCAAUUAGGCAAUUAUAUUUUUGUCUAGUACUUCCAAUGCACCUCCGGAAAUUACUUCAAUCAGUAAACAUUGCAUUAAUAAAUCAAACAAAAAUUAAAGCAAUUACAUUUAAUUAAUUAAUUAAAAUAAAUUUAAGUUAAAACUCUAGGCCCAUUCCUUAAUCCUUAUCAUCAAAUCCAACAUUAUUUCAUUAUCAUCAUAUGUACUCAUGAUCCAUUCCAAACAUACAGUAUUAUUAUCAAUCAAAGAUAGAGACUUAGUUAAAAUUCCCACAAUAUACUGCCCCUGUUCCACGGUGCUCUCUCUACUCUUUGUGUACCCUGUCAACUCUCUCUCUCUCUCAACUCUCUCUCUACUCUUUGUGCACUUCACAUUUGCAACAGAGAGUGAAUCUCAUCCCCAACUAUCAAAUCCCAAAUCCCUCUUCUUCUUCUUCUUCUUCUUCUUUUUCUCCCUUCUUAAUUUACGGCGAAUACCCAGAACGGUUUGUUCUCUCAUCAAUCAGCCGUCCGACUAUAUCUCACCGUCGUUCCCUAUCGUUGACCACACUCCUCAGCUCGGCCUGACAAAUCAGCAGCUAACAAAACUGCGCCGCCGCCGACCAGCACUCUCAACACAGACAACAACACAAGAAAUUGAGCCACAACUCAGCCAAGACUGGUCGUUCCCAAUCGUCGACCCACCCUGCACACCUAAGCUGCUGACGAUGCAGCAGCUUAGUUCUAUAGUUCUAUUGUGUUGUGCUGUGCUCUGUUUUGUGAAAAAAUUCUAGGGUUCAUCAGAAAAUUUAGCGAUAAAAUACAGGUUUACGAAAUCAAAGCUCACCUCCUUGUUUUGUUGGUGCAAUGGAUUUCUUUGGUGUGAUUUUUGGUUGAAUUUUGAUCAGACUUUGCACUUUCACCGUUGAAUUUGGGGUAGAUUCUUACG